GCCGAGAUGGCGGAAUUGGCAUACGCGCCGGUCUCAAAAACCGGUGAUCGAAAGAUCAUGAGGGUUCAACUCCCUCUCUCGGCACCA
rnacentral:tRNA from 1 species